UACAGAGGUGGCAAGCGUUGUUCGGAAUUACUGGGCGUAAAGGGCUCGUAGGCGGCCAACUAAGUCAGACGUGAAAUCCCUCGGCUUAACCGGGGAACUGCGUCUGAUACUGGAUGGCUUGAGAUUGGGAGAGGGAUGCGGAAUUCCAGGUGUAGCGGUGAAAUGCGUAGAUAUCAGGAAGAACACCUAUGGCGAAGGCAGCUCUCUGGGACGGUACUGACGCUGAGACGCGAAAGCGUGGAGAGCGAACAGG
rnacentral:rRNA from 1 species